GACAGAGGGUGCGAACGUUGCUCGGAAUUACUGGGCGUAAAGCGCGUGUGGGCGGGUGAUCAAGUCAGGUGUGAAAUCCCCAGGCUCAACCUGGGAACUGCACUUGAAACUGGUUGCCUUGAGUGCUGGAGAGGGAAGCGGAAUUCCUGGUGUAGAGGUGAAAUUCGUAGAUAUCAGGAGGAACACCGGUGGCGAAAGCGGCUCCCUGGCCCGAUACUGACGCUCAUGUACGAAGCGUGGGGAGCAAACAGG
rnacentral:rRNA from 1 species